rnacentral:tRNA from 1 species
GCUCGCUUGGUGAAAUCGGUAAACACGACAGACUUAAAAUCUGUUCCCUUUGGGAGUAUCGGUUCAAGUCCGAUAGUGAGCA